ensembl:lncRNA
CAGCACCAUCAGCACUAACGUGUAAGAGAAAUCAGCUGGGAUACCAAGCUGGUCCUGCUGUAACUUUAUAGCCACUAGGGGAAGUGUUCAGAGGAAAUCUUUGUCACUGGAGAAAAUUAUGGAAAAAGGAGUCUUGCUUGGAGAUAUCCCAGUCUCUCACUUUCAAGCUGGCUUCUGGUAUAGCUUUCUCCUCCUCCUUUCCUCUCCUUGAUAAAUGGGACUCAAAGAGUUAAUUGUGCUGAAAUAAACAUUAGCAUAAUGCCUAAGGAUACAAGUUUUUACCUGGCUAUGGAAUGUUGACAGCACAGAUGCUGAACCUAAACUGUAGAAUAACUCAUUAGGAAAUAUGCAAUAGCUAUGGCAAGAUUUACUACAAAUAUGCUUGAAGUGUUUUUAAAAAUUAAUAUUAUGCUGCUAUGCUUGGCUUAAUUAGCUUUCUUCUUCAUUUACAAACCAUAUCUGGCUGGUUUAUGAACUUAGUCUCUAUUCCCCAUUCUUGAAAACCUGUUUAAUUACAGUUUUAACUACUGCAUGAGCUUUAGAAACAGUAGAAUGACUUUUAUUGCUAGAAAUCUAAAUCCUUUUAAGUAUGAUCAUACCCACAUAUAAUGUACUGGAAAUAUGACAAGAUAUGCUCCAUAAUACCCCUGAAUAGACACAUGAUACUUCUACUUGUAAUUUUACAUGCCAUCCAUUUCCACUAUGUUGCAUAUAGGCAAUUUGGGGUUUUUUUUUUUUGCACAGAAAGUUGCACUAGCAGUGGAACUGUGAUUAAUCUAGCCAAUCACCAAGUCAGUCCCCUGAAAUCCAUUAAAGGUCACCUUUCUUUUUUUAGGCACAUACCCAUUUCUAAUUUGUUCAUUGAUUUCCUCAUCCAUUAUUCUAUCUUUUUUAGAGGUCCAUCACUUAUUAGACUCCCACUUCUACUAGCAGGGCAUUAUGCUUUGGUUUUCAAUUACAGCAAAUCCUACCACAGUCUUUUUCAGCAUUUAUCACUUGCUCCCUUUCAUGCUAUAAUAAAUGAUUAAAUACUAAUUUAUUAUUGCUAUAUAUACAAAAUUGAAAGAUGGUCAUUAGAAAUGCUAUCUGGGAUAUACCUGAAAUUCUAGAAAUACAUGGCAUACAGUUUAUCAUAAUGUAUUUUUGGCUGCAUAUUAAAAAGCUUGUGGCAUAAUGGUCAGCAAGCAGAAAUUAUCUGUGCAGUCACUGCCAACAGACUCCAGUAAAACAGAAAAUAUUUUUUGGCUCCCCUAUGCUGAAGACCCUGCUUAAUGACUUGUUACCCAUUAUACCCAAAAUACAGUACAGUUUCAUCACACAAUUUACUCCACAGAAGCAGGAUGUCAACAAUAGUCAGUUCUAUAAUAAUGAAAAAAGAUAAUAGUCAUUUCCCCCCCUAUUCUCAUUUGAAUCUCAUAACCACUAGGGUGAUCAAUUUCAAAACCUUAUUAGUUCUGCUACUAUGAACUAUUCAAGUCCACAUUUCAAGAUCAGUUUGCAGUGAAAAACUAUGGAGGCAAUCUUUUUAAAUGGACAAUUUACAAUUAAUAUUUCUGCCAACAUAUAUUUGCAAGCUUUACAUAAUAGCAAACACAAUAAUUUCAAAAUUUUCAAAUUAAAACAUAGGCAAAUACUGUGUAUGGCUGACAAAUAGUGCUAUAAAAUGUGCACUGGCACUAAAUCUUUGUCAGGCUGUAAAUCUAGUGAAGAAAAGCAAACAAAUAGGAAACUUUACAGUAUUUUUCUAACUAAAAAUAAAAAAAGAUAAAACGUUAUCAGUUCAUUCUGUAUAGAAUUCUGUAUUCAUUACUCCACUCAAUGGAAGAAUAUGAAGCAUGUAAAAUUAUAAAUCUUUCAAGAGUUGACUUUUUUUUUUUAUUCUUUACAUAUGCUCCUAUUCCAAAAUAUGUUUUAUCCAGUUUUUAAUUUAGGUUAAAUUGGCCUAUUUCCCUUAACGUUAACAGAGCUAAGAUGGUUCAUACCAGCUGCUCCUCUGAGAGUAUGUUCAGAGGAUCAUAAAUGAUAGUGUCAGUGCAUUUUAAGAAGUUACUGUGCUUCAGCUGGAGUUGAUCAGCAGACACGUGGUCCCUGUCAGCUCAUUACAAUGCCAAGUACAUGGUGUUCACUUAAGCUGCCUUCAGCAGUUCCAAAAGGGAGCCCAGGUAAAAGCAUUGGAAAGACGAGCAUUUAGGAAGAACUUGCUUCACAGGCAAGCUAUGACUUUUUGUUUAUUGUCAAAACUGAUGCAACUGCUGUUGUUUCCCUACACAUGAGUUGAGAUAGAAAUAAAUCUUUGUUAGACUGGAGUAGCAUCAUGCACGUGGUCAGCUUAAAUAAAUCACAUCAAGGAGCAGUAUCUCAGUAUCUCAGGUUUUGAGGGAUGGAAGGAAGGAGGGAAGUGUGUGUGAAUGUAGAAAUGGAACAGGAGCAGAGAAAAACAAUAUCUUUUAAAAACCACUAAGUCAGUCACUUUCAGUUACCUGACCAUUACUUGAUUUGAAACCAACAGAAUUCUACUUAAUUCUUCCUUCAAAGCAGGCAAAGGAAUUCAGACCAAAAAAAAAAAAAAAAAAAAAAAUCAUCAUUUGGGACUUUGAAGCCAGAAUAAUGAUGCAAAUAACAAAACUACUCCAUAUUGAGUCGAGUUUGCAAGAUAGUUUUCUAUUCGUUAAUGGUAGGUGAAUACAACUCUUUCACAUGCCACUGGCUGAGUUCAGCACCCUAAAUGUAUUAAAGUAAGAUAGAGAGAGGACUUUCGCACUGCUGUAAAAUAAAAGAAGCAGUAAGAUUUAUUUACAUUAUUUAGAGUAGACCCUUCCAUUUCAGCAUGUUUUCCUUCAAUUGCAAACAUAAAAAUAUCCCUGAUCCCAAUACUGCUCAAGCAUCAAUAGAAAUUGUCCUUUCAAUAUAUAGGAGGAAAGUGCAUGAAUUACCUAGAAAAAUCUGCUGCUGACAAAUACAUGAAUUUAUUGUCCAUUUUCUAGGAUGAAGAACCCAGGGAGUUCAGUUAAUGGCUGUUCUGCAAACCUCUUAUAGGAGCAUAAGCCUACAACGUCUUUCACCCUGACUUCCUCUUCUAUAAAAUGAGUUUAAUACUAUUUCCUUCCUCCUAGCCUCACUUUGCUCUUGUCACACUGAGUUUUUAAUGUAAUACAUUUAGAGGAGCACCAGAGUUAAAAUGGAGCUCAACUACUUCUGUCUACAAACUUCUUAACAAACAUCUAAAUGUUGAGAAGGUGAAGUCCUAAAAUUGCUCAG